rnacentral:rRNA from 1 species
CCUACGGGCGGCAGCAGUGGGGAAUAUUGCACAAUGGGCGCAAGCCUGAUGCAGCCAUGCCGCGUGUGUGAAGAAGGCCUUCGGGUUGUAAAGCACUUUCAGCGGAGAGGAAGGCGGUGAGGUUAAUAACCUCAUCGAUUGACGUUACCCGCAGAAGAAGCACCGGCUAACUCCGUGCCAGCAGCCGCGGUAAUACGGAGGGUGCAAGCGUUAAUCGGAAUUACUGGGCGUAAAGCGCACGCAGGCGGUCUGUCAAGUCGGAUGUGAAAUCCCCGGGCUCAACCUGGGAACUGCAUUCGAAACUGGCAGGCUAGAGUCUUGUAGAGGGGGGUAGAAUUCCAGGUGUAGCGGUGAAAUGCGUAGAGAUCUGGAGGAAUACCGGUGGCGAAGGCGGCCCCCUGGACAAAGACUGACGCUCAGGUGCGAAAGCGUGGGGAGCAAACAGGAUUAGAUACCCUAGUAGUC